AUCAGAAGUUUGAUUUCGAGUUCCGGCUGAUUGUUAUCCUUCUCCUUAUCUUGCAGGCAGCAUGAAGGAUAAAGAGAAGAAAAGGAGAAAAUGUGAUAUGAGAUACUUUUGCUUUUGAAGAAGUAACUUUCCACAUGCUUAUUCUUGAACUGGGCUGGAGGGUUUUCUGGUUUCCGCUAGAGUAUAAGGCUGACUGAAGAAUUUGAGGGUCAAAACAAGUCCAUCAAAUCUAGAGUACGUUCGACCCUGCUGAUAUGGGAUACUUUUGCUGUUGACAAAGUAGUGGAUGUAUCGGCACGUGUUCUGUUGCGCUUGUCUCCACAUGCUUCCUUGUAUCCUUCUCACUUGCCCUAUUUGUUCCUCAGGCAGAUGUGGUAUCUUCUCAGGAAGCAUAAGAUGUUGAAGAUGAGUACUCGAGAGCAAUGCCAGG
rnacentral:lncRNA from 1 species